rnacentral:lncRNA from 13 species
CUGGUCUCUGUGUCCUUUUGGCAACCCCAGAACCUUCCUUAGGGACUCCUCAGAAGUGCAGCUGAAACAGAUGGGGCUCCCUCUCCAAAUAUCUGAGCACACUCCCCUGGGCCUCCUUUUUAUGUUUAGAUUCCUUUAACCGUGGCUUCUCCUUUUUGUUUUUCCCCCGACCUAGGAUGGUAGCUCUUUCCUGCAGUUAUUAUCUCUGAUUUCCCUCAGUGAUUCUGCUGUAUUCUCCCAGUCCUCUCAUUCUUGUGUUAAAGCUCCUCUGUUUACAAUGUAAUAAAUUAUUUUUCUUCUUUCCUGACUGAACUCUGACCACCGUGAUCAUACUGACUUACAUCCUCAUACUUUGUUUUCUUUCUAUUUUUAUUUUCAACGUAAUAUUUUGAGAUUUUUAUUAAAGCUUAUUUCUGCAUAAAAAGAUAGUAAAGUGUGGUAAUAUUUUUUAAAAAGUAGCAAGUACAAAGCUGUGAAAGAGAAGAUAAUACUGCCACUGAUAGAGGCAGGCUUUCAGAAGAAGAAAAGCUGAAUGGAGUUUCCAGGUCAUCGUCUGACUUCAUCUUCCUCGAGUUUGCAGGUACUCCUUUUGGGAAGGUCGGUGGACAAGGCCACCAAUUAGUCCUGGGAGAUGUAGGCUCACCACAGUGGUUACUUAGGGUUGUAUUGAUCUAGCUACUGGUUAUUUAGUAGGAAUAAAUUAGGGAUUGUGGGCUGCUCUGCAUUUUCUGAUGUGAAGUUUACCUGAGCCAGCUUCUAGGUCUCAGAAGUGUGCCAAAGCAGAACUUCUUUGAGGGUGCCAUGAAUGUGCACAGGUGAUCCAGUCAGAAGGAAAGGAAGAAAAGGGCAGGAGCUUCACCAGCGCAUGGUCCAUCAAAUCAUCCUGUUAUUUCAACUCACCACCCCUCUCACAAAAACCCUUUAUGAGAAAAGCUCCUAUUAGCUUUAUCCAAGCUCUGCAAGCAAAGUUGGAACAGGAUUUGGAUGCUGUGGGAACUUCUUUGUAUAGGUCAUGAUCUAUUCAGGCCCCAAACACACAUUGGUGAGUAUAAUGAAUACCAAAACUUGAUGGAUAAUUUGCUCUGAGCAUUAUCCCCUAGGAUUACUGUUCUUCAGCUAAAAUCAUUGGAGAAGGUCAAAUAGCCUGCUUUAUUAGACGUUAUUUACAAUAGAAGAUUCAUUAAAUUUGUUUCUUAAAAGCUCACUAAUAGAGCUAUUUGCCACCAUCACAUUUCCUUCUCUAUUUCUCUUUGCAAAGGUUGACUUGGCAAGAACUUUAUUUCACUUAACUAUGUACUCUGAACUUGUGGUGCACAUUCUCAUUUAUUUUCCAGCGAACCAUUUUGGCUGUUUGGCCUAAAGUAGUUUACUCUAGGGUGCACUAGAUAGCAAGUACAUGGCCUAACUUCUAUUGAUGCACUUGAACCUCAAUGAUCUACAUAUACAAAGCUUAAUGAAAACUUGUAAACAUAAAAGUUGAACAAUGAGAACACAUGGACACAGG